rnacentral:rRNA from 1 species
AAAUUGAAGAGUUUGAUCAUGGCUCAGAUUGAACGCUGGCGGCAGGCCUAACACAUGCAAGUCGAACGGUAACAGGAAGCAGCUUGCUGUUUUGCUGACGAGUGGCGGACGGGUGAGUAAUGUCUGGGAAACUGCCUGAUGGAGGGGGAUAACUACUGGAAACGGUAGCUAAUACCGCAUAACGUCGCAAGACCAAAGAGGGGGACCUUAGGGCCUCUUGCCAUCGGAUGUGCCCAGAUGGGAUUAGCU